rnacentral:lncRNA from 1 species
AUGUCAUUGGUUGGUAGUUGGUCUAUCUUGUCGUCCUGGGAGGCUGGUAUCGGGGCAUGUAUAUCUCUGGAUCUCUGGAGGCCCUUCCCAGGCCCCUCUGUCUCAGGGGUCUCAAUCUUUCCCUUCCCUCUCUCCGUGGGGCCUGUCCCCUGUCCUCUCUCUCCGUGGGGCCUGUCCCUGUCUCUCUCUCCGUGGGGCCUGUCCCUGUCUCUCUCUCCGUGGGGCCUGUCCCUCUCUCUCUCCGUGGGGGCUUCCCUGUUCUCUCUCGUGGGGGCUGUCCUUCUCGUGGGGCCUGUCCUCUCUCCUGGGGCUGUCCCUCUCUCGUGGGGCCUGUCCCUCCCCGGGGGCCUGUCCCUUCUCCGUGGGGCCUGUCCCUCUCUCCGUGGGCGUCCUCUCCCCGUGGGCUGUCCUCUCCCCUCUCCCCGUGGGGUCUGUCCCCUUCCGGGGGCCUGUCCCUCUCCUCCCGUGGGGUCUGUCCUCUCUCCCUGGGGUAUGUUCUUUCCGUGUUGGGUUGCUCUCCCUUCUCCGUGGGGUCUGUCCCUCUCCCCGUGGGGUCUGUCCCUCUCUCGUGGGGUCUGUCUCUCCUUUCUCCGUUGGGUCUGUCCCUCUCCUUCUCUCGUGGGUCUGUCCCUCUUCCCCGUGGGGUCUGUCCUUCUCCUUCUCUCCGUGGGGUCUGUCCCUCUCCCCGUGGGGUCUGUCCCUCUCCUUCUCUCCGUGGGGUCUGUCCCUCUCCCCGUGGGGUCUGUCCCUCUCCUUCUCUCCGUGGGGUCUGUCCCUGGGGCCCUCAGACACCGCAGCAGCAGCGGAGGCAGCUUUCACUCCUCCUCGCUCCUCCUUCUUGGGUCUCUCCCCCUUUUCUCCUCUCUCACGGUGUCGCUCUCUCUCCUCCCGCUGCUCUCGCUCUUCCUUCAUGUCUCUGAGUACAGGUUUCUUAAUGGGUCCAGACCUGCGUACCGGCCUCUCUCCCCCUGGUCCAUCCCUCCGGCCGGCCCCAGACCUCCCUCCCCAGCGCAGCUCAGCCUUCUGCUUGCUGGGGGCCGGCUUCUCGAGCUUGUGGAGGCAGUCAGCUGGAGGGGUGUCCCCGGUCACAGCAGCCUGGGAGAAAGGCUCUUUACUGGCCUUUAUAUCUUCCCCGCCUGGCCUCUCUUCCGGAUCCUGGAGCUCAAGUGUCUUUGUUCCCAGGUGGAGGCUGUCGAACCUGGGCUCAUCCAGUUUGAGGGAGUGGCUGGAGCCCUGGGAGAUGGUUCUUUGUAG